rnacentral:rRNA from 1 species
GACGGGGGGGGUAAGUGUUCUUCGGAAUGACUGGGCGUAAAGGGCACGUAGGCGGUGAAUCGGGUUGAAAGUGAAAGUCGCCAAAAAGUGGCGGAAUGCUCUCGAAACCAAUUCACUUGAGUGAGACAGAGGAGAGUGGAAUUUCGUGUGUAGGGGUGAAAUCCGUAGAUCUACGAAGGAACGCCAAAAGCGAAGGCAGCUCUCUGGGUCCCUACCGACGCGGGGUGCGAAAGGCAUGGGGAAGCGAACAGGGG